CCGUACUACACGGGGAGGCAGCGGUUCCCUGUACCCGCAGUCCGCUACAGCGGGGUGGAAUUCCCGGACUGAGGGCUGAUUUUGUGGGGUCUGACCUUGAUAAGCAGCGUUGACGAUUGGGUCCUGCGCAAUGGAAUCUUGUGAACCCUGUCAGGUCCGGAAGGAAGCAGCAGUAAGCAAAUCGUUCUGUGUGCCGCGGGGCAGCCUGGUCUGAGCCGGCUGUCAGGGAUACGCCCGGAAAGUCAUGUUCGAAGCUGGGUGUACGG
rnacentral:SRP_RNA from 1 species